rnacentral:rRNA from 1 species
GACGAACGCUGACGGCGUGCUUAACACAUGCAAGUCGGGCGGUAAGGCCCUUCGGGGUACACGAGCGGCGAACGGGUGAGUAACACGUGGGUGACCUGCCCUCAGCUUCGGGAUAAGCCUGCGAAAGUGGGUCUAAUACCGGAUAUGACUACAUGUUGCAUGGUGUGUGGUGGAAAGCCUGGUCUGUUGGCUGGGUGGCUGGGGAUGGGCCCGCGGCCUAUCAGCUUGUUGGUGGGGUGAUGGCCUACCAAGGCGACGACGGGUAGCCGGCCUGAGAGGGCGACCGGCCACACUGGGACUGAGACACGGCCCAGACUCCUACGGGAGGCAGCAGUGGGGAAUAUUGCGCAAUGGGCGGAAGCCUGACGCAGCGACGCCGCGUGGGGGAUGACGGCCUUCGGGUUGUAAACCUCUUUCGCCAUCGACGAAGCCGUGAGGUGACGGUAGGUGGAGAAGAAGCACCGGCCAACUACGUGCCAGCCGCCGCGGUAAGAC